CGGAGUGUUCGCAGCAGUUGGAGUUUGUGGGAUACUGUACGUCCGGGUAUAGAUUCCUGAAAUGAGAUGGUUUAAAGUAUUAAAAGAGAUUGGGGAAUGUUGCAAGAAAAAUCAAGCAAAUGGUUCGAUAGAAGAAAAAGAAGAAGCUUGGAAAGAAGUAAUGGAUACAGGAUUCUUCUUUGCACUCUGAGGAAACAUCCAAAUACCAACACAGUGAGAACUAUAGAUCCAUUAAUUGCCACAAUCAAGGUGAUGACGGAAGGAGGAAGCAAAACAGUCUGGAAAGAACAAAGGAACACAAAUCAGUACUACUUCGGUAGAACAGUAGUAAAGCCAAAAAAAUCAGAAGUACUCCCGCAAGGAUUCCUGGGAUUACAGCCUGCAGCAGGUUUCGCAUCACGA